AUUGAACGCUGGCGGCAGGCCUAACACAUGCAAGUCGAGCGGCAGCGGGAAAGUAGCUUGCUACUUUUGCCGGCGAGCGGCGGACGGGUGAGUAAUGCCUGGGGAUCUGCCCAGUCGAGGGGGAUGACUACUGGAAACGGUAGCUAAUACCGCAUACGCCCUACGGGGGAAAGCAGGGGACCUUCGGGCCUUGCGCGAUUGGAUGAACCCAGGUGGGAUUAGCUAGUUGGGGAGGUAAUGGCGCACCAAGGCGACGAUCCCUAGCUGGUCUGAGAGGAUGAUCAGCCACCAUGGAACUGGGACACGGUCCAGACUGCUACGGGAGGCAGCAGUGGGGAAUAUUGCACAAUGGGGGAAACCCUGAUGCAGCCAUGCCGCGUGUGUGAAGAAGGCCUUCGGGUUGUAAAGCACUUUCAGCGAGUAGGAAAGGUUGGUAUCUAAUAACUGCCAGCUGUGACGUUACUCGCAGAAGAAGCACCGGCUAACUCCGUGCCAGCCGCCGCCGUAAAAC
rnacentral:rRNA from 1 species